UGGGGAAUUUUGGACAAUGGGCGAAAGCCUGAUCCAGCAAUGCCGCGUGCAGGAUGGAGGCCUUCGGGUUGUAAACUGCUUUUGUACGGAACGAAAAAGCUUCUCCUAAUACGAGAGGCCCAUGACGGUACCGUAAGAAUAAGCACCGGCUAACUACGUGCCAGCAGCCGCGGUAAUACGUAGGGUGCGAGCGUUAAUCGGAAUUACUGGGCGUAAAGCGUGCGCAGGCGGUUAUGUAAGACAGAUGUGAAAUCCCCGGGCUCAACCUGGGAACUGCAUUUGUGACUACAUGGCUAGAGGACGGUAGAGGGGGAUGGAAUUCCGCGUGUAGCAGUGAAAUGCGUAGAUAUGCGGAGGAACACCGAUAGCGAAGGCAAUCCCCUGGACCUGUACUGACGCUCAUGCACGAAAGCGUGGGGAGCAAACA
rnacentral:rRNA from 1 species